ensembl:lncRNA
GUUGUGUGUUUGGUAUUCAAAUAGAUCCCCUUUUGAUGAGUAAGCAAUAGCCCCACCCCUUUAAGAGAAGGGCUAAACUCAUAUGUGCAUAUUCUUAGUUGAGCAGGUUGCAAAGCAGCAAGUUGAUCUCUAACUUGCUCCCACUAAUAGCUGGAAUACUACAGACAGAUUGUAAACACACAACUUUCACAGCAGGGGUGUGCUAUUGCUGCUUUUACUCUGCCAUAGGAGUUGGCACAAGAUAAACAGUUUCUUCUGCAGGUAUCAACUGCGAUCAAGAUGGGCAAUGAGCAUUCUAAAAACAAGGCUGAGCAGGCUCCAGAAAAGCCCCUGCAUGGAGGAUUGAAUGGCCAUGCUGUAAGCAUCUCAUCCAAUGGCCUGGAGAAUGUUAUCAGUGAAGCAGCUGUGGAGCAGAACAGUAUGCCUCCCUCACUGCCUCCCUCUGAAGAGUCAGGUAUAGUGGAGGCAGAUGGCAGUGGUCUUGGGCCUGUGGUGGUGGAACAGAAGUCUGCCAUCAAGGAGGUUCCAGAAGUGGAACCAGAGACACAGAAUGCUAAGACUCAAAACACACCGGAACCAGAACUGGAACCAGCCACCCAAGAGAAGGAGGAGCCCAAGAACAGUACGAAAGAAAAAGUGAACAUCUUUGAAAAUCUGUUCAAGAAGAAAGCUAAGCCUCAACCCACCCCCAACCCGGAUCCAGCCCUGGAAAAGGAGGAAACCAUAAAGGACAAGAUUGUGGAGGAGAUUGAAAGUUCUGCAGAAGAUCAGAAAGUCCCUGUGGCUGUGACCGAUGGGAUCCAAGCUGAGCCACUUGCUGAGGUAAAGGAGGAUACAGAGACUUCAAAGGAGCGUCCCAACCCUAGUCCAGAGGCAGAGGAGGUCAAAAGCCCCAAAAUUGCAGAGGAAAGCAGUCACAUUCAGGAAAACCAAGAGGGAGAGAGUCAAACAGAAGAGAAUCCAGUUAUGAACUUCUUCAAAACACUAGUGACUCCCACAAAAAAAAACAAGCAAGAAACAGCCACCCCUGCUGUUGCAAAAGACCAGAAAGAGGCCCAACCAACAACAACAACUACUGCUGCACAACUAGUGGAUGCUCCAGCAACAGCCAAAGGAGGAAUGUCAAUCCCACCAGCCCCAGCCCCAGCCCCAUCCCCAGCCCCAGCCCCAGCCCCAGCCCCAGCCCCAGCCCCAGCCCCAUCCCCAGCCCCAGCCCCAGCCCCAGCCCCAGCCCCAGCCCUAGGCUCAUGUAAGAUGGAGGUUAAAGCAGAACUAGCUGCCCAAUCUGUGACCAACACACCAAACGAAGAACCAAAGGGUGCUGCCAAAGAACCAGAGGCCGCCAAGCCGAAAUCUGACCGCCCGUUCAGCAGACUUUUCAGCAGAAAGACAGUGGAACCAGUGGAGCCACAGCCGGUUGUGGAAGUACAGACAGUGGAACCAGUGGAGCCACAACCGGUUGUGGAAGUACAGGUAAAAGGAGAGAACUCUUGGCAUACUCCAUCCUCACGUGCCAUCUUUGUCUCUUUCUGUUGGGUUGCAUGGUGAAAAUGGGUGUUCAUGCUAUCAGUUACAGAGGAGGCUGGUGGGAGGAGCUAUAAGAUGACAGGCUUAUUGUAAUGCCUGGAAUGGAAUAAAUGGAAUGGAGUAAAAUAUGUUGUUUGCAUGUGUUUGUGUUUGGUACCAUUCCAGGGACUCCAUUCCAUCAAUUACAAUGAGCACAUCCUCCUAUAGCUUCUCUCACCAGCUUCCUCUGAUCAGUUACAAGUUGUUUCAUUCAUCUCAGCAAUAAAGUGGUGCUAAGGGGCAAAUCACAUAAUAUCUAUUUUACAGUACCAGUUUUGGUACCUGAGUAGAGAUUUUUAUCACCCUCUUAUCUCUUUCUUUCUUAUCUGUUUUAGUGGGUUAUUUUCUGGUUCUUCCAGGUGGUGGACUCUUGUGGGCUCUUAGACCUUCCUUAAUUAAUCCUGACAAUGGUUUAUAAUUAAGUUUUCUCUUUUGCUGUUUCGGUAAAGAAUGUAGACUUCUCAAAGACGGCCACUCUGGAGGCCUCUGCCACACUAGAACCACCACCACCAGAGGAAGAGAAGACACCUGCUGCCUCCAAAGCCUCUCCUUUCACUUCCUUUUCUCUUUUCAAGACAAAGGUAAGGCAGACAUUUUACUCACAUCUCACUUUGUUUCUCAACGGGAACUACUCAUGAAAUGUAAUUUUGGAAAUACAAGAAAAUGUGUACAUGUGAUAAACAAUAACAGAAUGGUGUGAUAAUUUGAGGACCUGCUAAACCAAAUGGCCUCAAAAGCCCAGACAGCUUCAACAAGUGGAGUCCGACAACUCAAGAAACCUUUCAAAGGGCUAAAUGACAAUACUUGCCAGCCAGUGUGAAAUUAACAAGAGUGAUCUCACUGUGUUCAGCUUAUGCUAUGCUGGUACUACCAUGUUGAAGUAUCCUGCACAAAUAAUGAAAUAUCCUCCAUAAAUAAUGAACAUUAUUUGGUACAGCAAUUGAUAUGUUGCAUGCACAUGAUAGCGAAAACAGCUGGUAGUGAUACUUUCUAAUUUCUCAUCAUUUUAUGAUAUUUACCAGCCAGAGCAAUGCUCCCAUUUAUGUAGUCAUUCCAUUAUACAGCCACUAUUUAAUUGCAUCAGUUGUGCUCUUGUAUUGUGCUAGUCAGUGUGAUAAUGUGUGUGCUCAGCUUUUUUAACUGGUGAGAGCCAGGAGGCAACAUCAUAUUGGAAGCCCAAUGGCUUUAAGAGGAACAUUAAAUGACCCAAAUUACACUUUGAAAUUGAUCUCUUGAUUAUUUGUCAUAAUUCAAUUAGGCAGCUGUGCCAAAAAAGGAAGUCCCUGCCCUAGCUGCAGAAGCGGUAGUUGAACCAAGUGUAGCCAAGGACGAACCAAAGGCCCCAGAGGACCCUGCUGUGGACAGCAAGCCCGUGUCAGAGCCCUCCGAGGUUAUGGAGAAUUCCCCCGUCCUCCCUAAGAGACUGGAGAAGAGGAACUCCAUCCACUUGUUCUUCAAAAACCUGGGCAAACGCCAGUCAGAUGCAGGAGUACAAACAGAACCAGAGAAGACCAAAUAAAACAGAAACACCCUUUCAAACAUCACAUGCCAUAUCUGGAAAUGAACUUUUGAUUUGUUAGAUACAUUAUGUUUCUGAUCACACUAUUGAUGUGGUAAGAGCAAGUGGUUUGAGGGAGAGAGGUGGACUGUGGACUAGUCUGUUCUAGUCUAAUCUUUGUGGACAAUUUCAGAGAAUUGUUCUUUGUGGAGGAGGUAAAUAUAUUUUCUGGUUUUAAAGGCUUGAUAGGUAGAGAAAAGUGGUUUUGUAACAUAUACUGAGAGCAAAAUCAAUUUUCUAUACAGUAUGUACCCUUCUUUUAACAUACAUGUCAAACUCAUUCCACGGAGGGCUGAGUGUCUGCUGGUUUUUGUUCCUCCCUUGAUUGAUUAAUUAAGGUCACUAAUUAGUAAAGAACUCCCCUCACCUGGUUGUCUAAGGUCUUAAAAACGAAACACUCGCAGACACUAAGCCCUUCAUGGAAUGAGUUUGACAUCCCUGCUUUAACAUAUUAAUGUGUAAGGAUCUAAUGCAAAUAUUACGUUUAGCAUAUUUUUUUCCCUCUAUACGCAAUUUACUAGUCUGAAAAUAACUUGUGGAGUGCAUACAAUGGUUUCAGAUACAUUCAUAGGACGUCUUGGAGAAGAGAUGCAUAAAGCUUAGCUUGGAAUAGAGAGAUAGUAAUGGAAUAUACUCCAAAUGUAAUGGAGGAGUUGGUGAAAUGGUGGAUAUUCCUGCCAAGAUGUUUUUAUUUAGGCUAGACACAUGCAACUUACAAUGUAGGCUUUAAACUUUGCAGGAACUGUACACGGAUGCAAAUAUAUGCCAAACACUAAAUUACAAUAUAUGAUUAUAAUCAUACACAGGGGGACCUCACAAUCAUUACUUUUUUUGGGAACUACACAGAUCAUCUGGUAGUCUAUAUAGCUAACUGCACAGUCAUGAAUCAUAUUUGAUUAACGUUUCACUGAAGUAUAAAGGUUUGUUCUAAUUUGAGUGCACUGCUUUACAUGUGUGUGCCUGUUUGAAUGCAGAUGUUAUAAUCUUGGGUAUCUUGUCUGUUAAUUUCUGCACCUAUAAUUUGAUAAACUGGAUCUGGAAGUAGAAUAUUUAUUGUGACAGCAAUUUCCGAAUCAUGACAACCUGCAAUGGGGUAUAUGGGGGGGUUCUACUGAGCUAACAUGGAUUUUUUUUUAAAGAUCAUACCAUGGAUCCUUUAGCUAUUUAAUUUUUCAUUGGGGUAAAAUAUUGAAUUUGGCCUUUUAAUGCUACAACCUAUAGAAAUGCAUUGAAUAACACACUCAUAAAUGGCAAAACAGAGUACAAAAAUAAAUAAUAAGGAAUAUGUUUUUGAAUUGUCUGUCCUACAUCUAGGAGAUGUAAUAAAGUUCAGGAUUUACACAUUUAACCCAUUUUUUGGGGUGUCACAAAACUACUUCUAUAUUUGUUUUUAUGUUAAUUAGAUUGACGCACGGGUGCGUUGAUCAACUUUAGGGGUAUUUAAAGCUAUUUUUUUCUGUAACUGUUAAGAGAAUAAAUGUAUACAAUUAUAUGUUUUCUUGUUUUCUAUCUCACAAUUUAGGCCAAAAGCUAUCAGUAUAGGGAAAUAUGAAAACAUAUUUAGACUGGAAUUAAAUGUCCCUGUAAUAUAUUGAUUUAAUGUUAUCAAGCAGGACUAUCAAGUGCUGCAAUACCUGAAAAAGACAUGACCCAACAAGUUUAUCAACACAUCUUGUAUUCCCGAAGUAGGGAGCCAAGCUGUCUCAGC